rnacentral:rRNA from 1 species
AACCAGCUCUUCAAGUGGUCGGGAUAAUUAUUGGGCUUAAAGUGUCCGUAGCCGGUUUAGUAAGUUCCUGGUAAAAUCGGGUUAGCUUAACUAUCUAUAUGCUAGGAAUACUGCUAUACUAGAGGGCGGGAGAGGUCUGAGGUACUACAGGGGUAGGGUGAAAUCUUAUAAUCCUUGUAGGACCACCAGUGGCGAAGGCGUCAGACUGGAACGCGCCUGACGGUGAGGGACGAAAGCCAGGGGAGCGAACCGGAUUAGAUACCCGGGUAGUCCUGGCCGUGAACGAUGCAUACUAGGUGAUGGCACGGCCAUGAGCCGUGUCAGUGCCGUAGGGAAACCGUUAAGUGUGCCGCCUGGGAAGUACGGUCGCAAGGCUAAAACUUAAAGGAGUUGGCGGGGGAGCACCACAAGGGGUGAAGCCUGCGGUUC